rnacentral:lncRNA from 1 species
GGCCGGGCGGGCGGUGACGCAGACUGGCCCCCGCCCCUGCCUGCCGGCCCUGGCCCUGGGGCGCCUUGACGGCUGGGCCACCCGGGACCCAGGCUUGGCGCAGUUCAUGGGGGGACUCCCCUUGAAUGCCCCGAGCCAAGGGUCUCGGCCCGCCUCGCCGCGGGCUGAGAUGCACCCCGAAUCGUCAGCGGGACAGGGUUUUGGGGUGUACAGCGCGACUCGCUGCCCCGCCCCCUUCCUGUCGCCCCAGGCCCGGUGCUUCCGCCUGGGGGCGCCCGCGUGGGGGGGACGGGAAGAGGGGCCUGAGUCAGCGGCUGUCGUCCAGGAAAACAGGCUGGAGUCACCUGCCGUAGAGUGGGGGUGCCCUGGCCAGCCCUGGCCUCCUGCAUCUGUCAAUGGUGACCUCAGAGGGCAUUUAUGGAGCGAUUAGCCAGUGCCAGGCCUGCCUUGUGCCCAGCCAGUCACCAGCCGGCUAUGCUGUGACCCCGGGAGGUAACUGGCCUCUCCAAGCCUCAGUUUCUCCAGGGUGGGUGGGAGUGUGGUGAGGGGAUGCGGCAGGAUCACUUUGGGGCCAUCACCCCCCAUUAAUGCAGGACAUGCACUGGUUCCCAGCCUUUGGGGUGGGCAUUACCCCAUUUUACAGAUGAAGAAACUGAGGCCACAGCCAAUGAGACACGAAUGUGGUGUGCAUCUCACCCUUCCCCGUCGGCUUUUUGAGGAUGGUCCUGGUUGAGUGAGAACAAAGGUGGCGGAGGGAGCCGUGGACUGGUGCCAAAUGAGCAGCCCAAGCAGGACACUGGGGCCCCCUGUGAGUGGCCAGCAGCCCCCACCUCCCUCCCUGCCUCUUGCCUCUCGUGUGUGGCUCUGCCACCUGCACACCGUCACCUCAGUCUGGUCGGGAGUGGAAUGGACACCGUCACCUCAGUCUGGUCGGGAGUGGAAUGGACACCGUCACCUCAGUCUGGUCGGGAGUGGAAUGGACACCAUCACCUCAGUCUGGUCGGGAGUGGAAUGGGACACGGGUUGUCGGAACUUGCUGGGCUUCACAGGGGCCACUGUGUGGCCCUUUGGGGACCAGAUGCCCAGAGCCAGUCUAAAUGAAUAAACAUGCUAAAACGCUUCCCCACCA